UCAGAAUUGAGAACCACUGGUGUAGUCUAUGCAUAUCCCAGCAAACAAGAUCAAUAUUUUUGGUCCGAUUUCCUGGAGGAAAAAAGACUGUACAUUUUAAAUGUCUAUUUGCUAAAAGAAAGAUAAACUUUAACAGCUGACAUCACAAGUUCCUCUUGCUUUGUGACCCCGCCCCUCCAACCACUUACACGUUCACUCACUGAGUUUCAAUCAGAAAUACAUCAGGCUAUCAGGGGUGUGAGAGAGAAAGAGGGCUUUGAGAUGCUUCUGGCGUUUUCCAUGGGAAAUACAGUCACUGCCCCUCGGCCCGGGAUCCUCCGUUAUCCGGUGUGAGUCAGCUGGGUUGUGUGGCAUCAGUCCCUGUGUAAUUAAAAGAUUUUCAUUACAUAGUGCACUUUCACGUCUCGCC
ensembl:lncRNA